rnacentral:rRNA from 1 species
AGAGACAGCAGCCGCCGCGGGAAUACAGAGGGUGCGAGCGUUAAUCGGAUUUACUGGGCGUAAAGCGUGCGUAGGCGGCUAAUUGAGUCGGAUGUGAAAUCCCUGAGCUUAACUUAGGAAUUGCAUUCGAUACUGGGAAGCUAGAGUAUGGGAGAGGAUGGUAGAAUUCCAGGUGUAGCGGUGAAAUGCGUAGAGAUCUGGAGGAAUACCGAUGGCGAAGGCAGCCAUCUGGCCUAAUACUGACGCUGAGGUACGAAAGCAUGGGGAGCAAACAGGAUUAGAUACCCCCGUAGUCCCUGUCUCUUAUAC